AGAUAUAGUAGUAGCAGAGCCAUUUG
rnacentral:piRNA from 1 species